rnacentral:tRNA from 2 species
GCGCCCGUAGCUCAAUCGGAUAGAGUACCUGACUUCGGAUCAGGGGGUUGGGGGUUCGAGUCCCUCCGGGCGUA